UUCCGGGCGCCGCAGAGAGCAUCCUGAGGUUGGAGGGCAGCGUUGCUGACGUUUUUACGCGGCGCCGAAGCCUCGGGUCUGGUUGGAUUCUUUGUCACUGAGAAAGACACUUGGAAGACAGGACAGGACUCAGCUAACACAGAAGCCGCCUGCUAAACUGGAGCAAUGAGUCUGCUUCCCAGCUUCCUGAGCCCCAGGAAUAUCACUCCUGGCACAAACCCAUGACAGUAAGCCAGCAGAAAUCCAUUUACCUUCCUUUGGAGCGGGAAUUUUGGAGUUGACUGAUCGGCGUUUUUGUUUCUGAAAAACAAAACAAACCACCACAAUAUAUGGCUCUUAUCAAUUCUUAAAGGCCUAUCUUGGGCCAAUCUAUGUGCUGUGCUGAAGUCCUAAGCAGUCCCAGAAAACAAAACAGCAGAGAACCAAACAGCCAAGAGAAUCCUCUGGGGCACUGGCUGUGCCAGAUGACAGGCACCUACCUGAACCACUACGUUCUCCUGCAGGGGCAGAUUGUCCUUUGGGUGUAAGGGAAGAAGCUGUAAGAGUUCUGGGUUUAUUGCAGCCACAUCAUCAAAAUCAAUCUGCAAGGAGCAAAUAAAAGUUUCUGUGGAACAACAUAGCUUGUUUAAUCCAAUUGCAUCUCUGCAAACAAGGCCACCCCUAGAUUCAGACUUUAUAAACUUUAAGUUCCACCAAGUCCUAAUAGCUAUAAACAAAUAUUUAUUCUCUAGUCAUGUUUUACCAUCUAGAUGAAUACUGGUUUCUGAUUUCCAAGCCAAUGGUAGAUGUCAGUGAUGAGAAUAAGUGACGAGGAAGGCAGACAGGCAGGCAGUCAGGUAGUCCACAGUAGAUCUAGGCCACUCGGCUCCCUUACUGUUCUACAAGGCAGUGGGGUCCUGCUGAGGACAGCCCCCUGGGCACCUCUUGCUGGCUGACACAGAGGAGGAAACAAGUUCUAACUGUCCCGCUGAUAGUCAAAUGAAGGGCCCUAGGAUCUUAUAGGCAGGGACAAGUUCCCAAGAGCUGCUACCUAAUCCUAAAUCUACCUACAUUUUCUACUGGGCCCAGAAACUACUUCCCCAGUCACAGUGUCCUGCUCAUGCCUUCCCUACUUCCUGCUCAUGCCUGCAAUGAAGUCACAAUUCUAGGUUUACAUCACCAGAGUCCUGAAACCCUCUAGGUACAACUCAAACUUCAUCAGCAUACUUCACAGCAGGUUCAAACACAGGAAAAUAGUACCAACUUGGUUAUUUGUGUUUCAGAAUGUGACAGAGCUGAAGAAGGUACUCCAAGGUAAGAGCUUUGCCUCUUUUUUUUUUUUUUUUUUUUU